rnacentral:tRNA from 1 species
UGCAGAUGUGGCGGAAUUGGCAGACGCGCCAGAUUUAGGUUCUGGUGUCUAUGACGUGCAGGUUCAACUCCUGUCAUCUGCAUCC